UGCAUUCGUAGCUCAACUGGAUAGAGCGUCUGACUUCGGAUCAGAAGGCUUGGGGUUCGAUUCCUCACGAGUGCGCCAU
rnacentral:tRNA from 1 species